rnacentral:rRNA from 1 species
GGCGCAGGCGGACAGGUCAGUGGAAAGUGGAAUCCCGGGGCUCAACCCCGGAAAGCCUUUCCAUACUGCCUGUCUUGAGUACGUGAGAGGAGAGCGGAAUUCAGGGUGUAGCGGUGAAAUGCUUAGAUAUCCUGAGGAACACCGAUGGCGAAAGCAGCUCUCUGGCACGCUACUGACGCUGAGGCCCGAAAGCGUGGGAGCGAACG